CACACGGUGUCAGUCUCUACUCAGCAGCCGCUCCUCGAGCAGCCGUGCUCUGCGCGCCGUGGAUCUGGCGAAAGCCCCGCUGUUUCAGGUAAGUGCUGAACUGAAGAUCCAAGGGAGAAUUAUCUCAUACAAGAUCAAGCAGGAUGCCUACUGCAGGACUGUGCCUUGUUCUGCCUCGUACCAGGGGAGGGCCACCUCUGCUCAGAUGAGGCUGGGAGCCGGUGGAGAGGCACUGGGUGCCAGCUCUGGUCAUUGGGCAAAGCAGCAAGGUGGAAAGAUCUUCCUGGAAGCUGGAAGUUUGAGCUCAGCCAUCACCCAUUAAAGCCUCCUCUCCAUCAGAAGGACGCCAGUGUCAGCCAGAUGAGAUGCUGCCUCCUCGUUGCCUAGCAAGUCCUCUUCCCUGUUGCCUGCACAGAAGAAAAUAAGCAAAAGCAGAAAACUCCUGCCCCUCCCAAGGGAAGUUUUACAUCAACUGCAGAAAAUGGGCAUCACCUUUCAGGUCCAAAGAUGCUUUUGAUGAAGUAAGGUGGAAUCAAAUGCCUGUGCAAAAGAAGAGCUCUAUGGUGUUGGAGAGAAAGUACCUAUCCACACUACAGAAAGGAUUUAAGUUCAGCCCAGGUCUUCUUUCAGGUCUCUAACAGUGCUGAUUUCCACAUAGGGAGAACAAAUAAUACUUUGCUCAUGUAAGAGGAGCCAUGGCUGCGUCUCUUUUUGGGUGACUUUGCCUCAGAUUAGCCAGAGGGAGAGAGCUGAAGCUCAUAAUGGAAAUAGCUCUCAUUAAGAACAAGUGCUCCAGGGACAUAGAACUGUUAUUAGCUCUCUGUCAAUGUUCAGAGCAGGAGAAAUGUCUCUUUAAGAACCACACAUUCCCUCAGAAGACACAUUUGCUGGGCCUCUCCCUAUUCUGUCUUCUCACCAACUGCUUAACUUGCUUUGAAAUGGUGAAGGAAUGAGCAGUUCGAGGUGCUUUAAAGAUAUGCAUGUGGAGGUAGCAUACACAGAAGGUGUCAAAGGCUGAAAUGCGGCUCCUUUUGCAUGGAGCCUGCACAGGUGAUGCUCUGACCAAGGAAGGGAACAGCAACUGGAGGAUGGAGGGACUGUGAAAUAUCCCAGCAGUGGGCAGGUACUCUCUUGACACCUCAGAUGAUUUGUUUUGUAAAGGAAGUGAGUGUCUUCCUCAGACCAGCUGCUGCUGUGAUGGCAGAGCCUUGUUUGUGCAGCAGGGCCGCAGGAUCCCCUGAGCUGGAGCUCAGAUUUUGGCAGAGCUCACUCAGAGCCAGAUUCCACUCGCAGCAAUGGGAGCCAGGUGUGAUGGAAAGAAAAUGUUUUAACAGAAUAGACCCCGUGCCACUGGGUUGGGGCACGUGUGGAAUCUCAGCGAGGGUCUUUCUGUAACAACAGUAGGCAGGGAGAACCCACUCAUUUGUUCAUCACUGCAUUGAUUUGUUUGCUGGCUGAAGAUAAAUCAAAAGGAGACCUGAGCCCCACCUGGGGCUUUGGGUGCAGCUGAACACAUUCCCCAGCGCUGAUUUACAGCUGACCUUCAGCAUUUACUAUUUGUCAGCUCAAGGACUGUGACAUCAGGCUGCCAAAUUUAUGUUUAAUUAAUGAUGAAUCCUCCCCAUUUCUGGCCAGCUGAGAGGACAUGACUGUGCCCCAGGGACCAGGGUGCAGUGUCUCCUCGCCGAAUCUCUUAGAGCGGGAUCUGGAAGACAAGGUUGAAUUCUUUUGUGGCCUCCCAUCCCACAGCCAGCUGUGUCUGCAGAAGGUCUUCUCUUUGCGCUGACCCCAUAUCCUCAUCUCCUCUCAGCAGCAGGGCUUGGACAUCUAGGAAAUCCAUCUUUGUUAAAUUUCCAGGGUGACCAGCAGACAGCAAGGCAGACCUCUGGUUCCUGAUGAUGGAAAACAGAAGAAAUGUGGAAAUAUGCUGUGGCAAGCCACAAAGUCUUUAAGAUCCCUUCAAACACUAUUACAAAAAGUAAUAGAGAAGAAAUGCAGGUCCCUGAGCCUGCCGUGAUGGGAGAACUGGGAAUGAGAGGAGGCGACCUAUGGCACGUCCCAUCGAUCCCCACACCAGGAGCACAGUGCAAAGGGGAUGUAAACCCCAACCUCCUUCCUGCCCUGGUAAUUCACCUUUUUUUUUCCCUUCCUUUUUUUCUUAAAUGCUUUUCUGGGGGCCCACACCCUUUCAUCUGUUUAUUUUUAACAUCUAGCAUUUUCUGAACUUAAAUGUCAGCUCAGCUGUAGUCCCAGAUCUCAGUUCAUUCUGGUUCCAUAACCAUGCUUUAAUGCUUAAAGCACAUAUUUUGAAUUAGUUAAAUUAGAUUUUGCUCUGUUGUCAUUGACUGUCAGUUGUGAUGUUUUUGACUUUGCAGGUUCAAGAAGCAGCACAGUAAGCUGAUGUCAGAAGCAUGCAUUAGAUUUUUAAUAGAAAAAAAGUGUUGCUAGGAAGAUGAGGCUUAUAAAUGACUUGAGACAUGCGUCUAUAAUUACUACAUGCAUUUUUUUUUCCUGUAUACAUAUGUAGGGAUUUUUAGGAAGCUGGUUGCUAUGGUAACUUCUUUACUGCAUGGUCCAUAUGUUACUUAAGAUAUUCUUUUUUCCUUAAUGGAAAAUUACACCCAUGGACACGGAUGGCAUUUGUAAAUCUUCUAGAAAAGCAACAAUUUCCCUUUUCUUCCUAAAUGUCAUCAGCUGUGCAAUGGGUGCCUUUGAAGUUUAAUUCUCCUCCUUGUCAGCUCACCAAGCACGAGACGUGUGCUGCAUCCAAACCUUCCUUCCUCUGCCUCAGAGUCUUUGCCUUGCUGGAGCCCACCUCUCCUUGCUGCCCUCAGCACCGGCCUAAACAUCCUGGCCACUGACUUAUGAGCUUCUCUUCACUUCCCCACUACUCCACAAUGUUCAAAUUAGAACAGAGAAUAAGCUUAGCUCCAGGUGCAUGCACAGCUGGGAACACUGUGUUCUCUUGGCUGCUGCUCCAUGCUCUCAGGUUGGAAGGGGCAGAAAAUCAGAGCCAUCCAUAGGCACAUCAGUGCUUUUUGAUGUGCUUUGUUGGCUUUGAACAUUCAAAGAGGUAUUUAAGGUAAUGGCAUUUCUCUACUCAUCUACAGGGGCUGGAGGAAAGGAAAAGCAAACAAACAAGCCAACCCAGCUCUUGCACUAUGGCAAACAUUUGUUUUGUCUGGUUCAGUCCAUUUUUGACAAGUCCAUUUAAACCAAGGGACUGGAAAUUCACAGUGGAAAGCUCGAGCAUUGCAGCUGAGGAGCAUUUCCCUGAGCUGAGACCUGUGUUCUAGUGUUCCUUCAGCACACCCACACUCAUACUGUACCUCAUCUUGCUCCAUUGGCUAAGAAUACAUGCACGUCUGUAAAAUACGGGUCUCAUUGAGGCUGGAUUGGGGUGGAUUUAACUCUGUGUGUCUGAAACUCACCAAAAACUCAGAUCAGUUAAAACGUAUUCUUAACCUUAUUUUUUCCAGCAGUUCUUGUUAAUGACUGCAGCUUGGAAGCUACUGCCUUUGUAAUAUCUGAAGAGACUGUGAAUGUUGGCUUUUCAGAAACCUUUCUUGAGGUCUUCCCCAGCUGCGCUUUCUGUUUUACAUUUGAAAGGUUUGACACCUUAGCAGUAUAAAGUUAUAGGCUUUAUCCCUAAAACUUCCCAAAUGCAGUUGCCAUUAUUAACACAGUUGCGACAGCUAUAGUUUGUUUAUAUUGCUUCACCUGGGGCACAUAAACUUAAAGGACUGAAAAUACCUCCAUGCAAUAAAAGAAUUUUAUAUAAUUGCAACCUCUUGCUGUAAGGGACAGCUGGUCUUUGAAAGUUGGGAACUCAUUUACGUCAUUGAAGUAAAAUGUAAGCCUGGGCUUUAAAUGGCUGUAAUUUAUGUUUCUGAAGCUCAAAACAAAAACAUGGAUGUCCAAAGGGCAAAUACCUUCCAAACACAUUAAUACUUCUAUUUCAGCUGAGGACUGUGUGAGUCUACAGCUCCUUGACAGGAGGCUGUCGGUGGCUGUCCAGAAUUGCUGCAGUUUCUUUUGACGCUUAUUCUCUUGUUAUCUCUUGUUUGCUUGGAUUUCUAUGGGUGGUUUCCUAAUUCAGCAGUUAUAAAUGUUUCCUAAUCUGCAGCCCCUGCACAGUCAGUAGGGGUGAGUCCCAAAGGUGUCACUCAUCGUCACAGGGGACUGGGGUUACUCAUGCCCACCAGGUCAGUGUGGCUGUGGGUCUGCAAGUCAUAUGUCUCUCAUCACUGAAAAGAGUCAAUUCCUUGUAGCUGGAUGAAAACCAGUGUCUUGAGAGCAGAAUAACCAGAAAUCACCCUGCAGUUCUUGUGCUGAGCAUUUUUUUGGUCCCUGUCUCUGAGCUUUUUGUCUGGACACCAUUUAUAUACUUUGGGUUAAGGGCCUAGUUCCAAACAGCUGUUGCUUGUUUAGCUUUUUUUGCUAAUUUUUUUUUAUUAUUAUUUUUUAAUUUAUAAGACUGAAAAUCCCUCUGGAAUGGGCUGACACCAAAAAUGUUUGUUCUAGUCCUUGGAUGAAGGCACCCACCCAUGGUUCAAACUUUUAUGAUUUACAAAUUCACCAACACUUAUUAUGGCAUUGCAAAACAACAGCAACAAAAAGAAACCCAACCGCAACUCCUGCAGAGCAAAUUCCAGGCUCGGAGCAUUGCUUAAAGCUUGCCAGCCCAUCAUCACAGGGGAGCCUGAGUUGAUUCUGAAGGUGUAUUUGCAGAUCUUAGUUCUAGCUUGACCAUGGCCUGACUUGGCUCCUUCCAACAGCGCACGGUUUUGUCAUUUGCUUUAAAUACAGAUUCAGAUGUAUCUGUGAUUUAAGAAAAACUGAUCUCUUUUUCGUAACACUCAGGAGUGUGGCGUUGUUGCCCUGCGCAGCUCACUGGAGUAGAGCAAAUGGCAAAUUUUCACAGUGCUGGAUCAGGGAAGUGUGAAUAUUGAAAUUGGGUUUCUGGAUCAAGGGAACUGUGCAGAGUGAAUUCAAAUUUCCCUUGAGCCUUGCGUGGGUGAACUCCAUUUCUUUCCCUUUAAGCCACCUCUUUGGGCAAACUCAGUCGCAGGAGAACUGUGCUUAAGUUUGGUCGAAGCUGAUGGUGGCUGUUGAUGUCCCUCAUGACGGCGAGUGGGAAGAUAUGGGUGCACACGUGGCGAUCUCGUAGCAGUUUGCAUGCUGACCCUUGCUUAAGGAUUAACUUUCCUUUGGAAUCGUACUGGAAGUAUUAAGCAGGGAAUUUGGGAAAAACACAGAAGCGGCUUUAGCAAAUGUGCUCUGAGCCCUGCUCCUGGGUGAGCAGGGGAGCCUGAAAGCCAGCCCAGUCCUUCCCUUCCCGCACAGCUCUGGGAGGUGCUGUCAGGGCCUGGGAAUGUGCUCCUGCACAUUACAUCCUCCCCUAUGGGGGCACAAGGGAUACGGGGGUCCUUGCAGCAGGACAAGCACCAGAGGUCAUUUACACCUAAAUCUGGAGGAGCUGAGCUGCUUGCAGACGCUGCUGCAGUAAGUAGUGAAUAGGAGUUGAGCAUCUGUGUUAGAAAUCCAAGCCUGAGAUGAUCCCAGAGGCACCAAGGACAGUUGUGGACCUGUUUUCCAGCUCCACCAUUGAGUUUGCCAGAGGAAAAAAGAGUCAAAGCUUCCAGCAAACGCAAUGCUACAGAGCUGCUGCAACUGUGAACGAUUCCAUUCUUCCCGGAUGUUCAGAACUGAAGGCCAAGUGGAGAAUAUAUUCCUUAAAACAAAUGGAAUGGCUAACCAGACCAGCAUGAACAGAAGGUCCAACUGAUGGUUCAUGGCCCACCAUGAGUAUGUACAAGUGGAGGAGUGCUGGAACACGAAGAGCAUUUUCCUUUAUUCCUCCCUUUUCAAAGCCACAAGAUGGACAGAAGUAUAGUUUCUAAUUUUCUCAUGUUUCUAAGGACGCUGUGUUGGGGAGGUUUGCAGGCAGGGAGGAGCUUGUCCCUUCCUGGGGAUUAAGUGAUGGAAGGGAUGCUGUGCUCAGACACUGCUCUCAGUGCAGUCCUGCCCUGUGUCACAGAAUCUUCUGUACCUGCUCUGAAACAGCUGCAGAUGCUGAGAAUUUAAAGGCGAGUUCUUAUGAUCUAUGGUGGCUGAAAUGUCUAUAAACACCUUGAGUCUCUCCAGAGAUCUCUGUGCUUGCCAAACUCUGCAGCUUACUAGCAUGUCUCAUUAUAUGCUGUGCUUUCUGUAAAGUCCCUCUCCUGGAGCCCGUGAUUAUGUGAGCCCUGCAGAGAAGUCGGUUUAAAGACCUCAGUGCAUCCUCAGUGCUAACAUAGAAAAAGUAGAUGAAGAAAUCCUAAUUUAAUUACAAAGUUGAAAGCCUUUAAUAGCAUUUAAGAUAGUCUCAAGAUUUGGAGCCUACCUGUGGCUUUUCCUCCAGCACUGGCAGUUGUCAAUAUCGAAAUAUUAUCACAAAAUAUAUACAUAAUAUUUAAACAUAUUAGUAACCCAAGGCUAUAGAUUGCUCAGCUGAAAUCUGCCAAACAUCAAUCACCAGAUUCAAUGUCUUAUGGUGAAAUGAAUCUGAUCAGAAAGCAAAACUAAACAAAAUCAGUAAAACUAACAGCAUGACUCACUGUAUCUUCGCUCGCUGAAGUAAGAUGCCUGCAGGACUCUCAUGUUGCUUUCAAGCAGAAAUGUAUAUGUUGCAGAGCUGAUUUGGGUGUGCAUAUCCUUUAAAAUGGGUCUGGGAUAUUAGAUGUCCUCUGUGAGUGUAUGUGUUAAGAGCAUGGACAGGAUUUUUGAUCUAGAAGAGCUAUAAAGACAUCCAAGAGGCAAUGUUUUCUUGUGCAUUGAUUUAAACAGAAAUAGAAGUUUCAUUUCCUUUUUGAGGGAUGUUUUGGAUUUACACAACUGCGUGGUAUAGUCUGUCACAGGACAUGGGCUUUCACAGUUAGCAAGAGGAUGGAGAGGAGCAGAGAGGACCCUCUCAACCAGCAGCACACCAGUCAGAGCCACCAUCUGACUGCCAUGAGUCUCCUGCAGGCUUUUUUCCCCCUAGGCUGAGGAAGGUUGUUCCAACCCACAGGUACCAUAUCCAGGUAUGACUAUGUCAGCAUUGUCCUUAGGAUCAGGAAUCUGGAAGCAAAUACCCCAAUCAUCUCCUCUUGCAGUGUGCUCCCCUUGGCUCGUGGUGCUGCAGCUCGUGAACUGGAUGGCUUUUUGGCUUUUGGAGGAUGCUGCACAGAUGAUGUGCUCCCGCUCGCUCAAGUGCUUGGUCACUAAUGGUCAGCUGGUACUGGGACUGAUCCCCUCUGAAAACACACAAUGUGGACACCUGCUGCUCAGAUCUGUCUGCUAAAGUUAAUGGAGAUGUGUGUGCUCUGCUCACAAAAGCACUCAGCCAGCUACAGAAAGCCCCCAGCUCAUGGCAUGUAGUUUUCUUUUCUGAAGAAGCGUGAUUCCUGUCAAUACCAAACAAGAAGAGACACUGUUUAAAAUCUGUGUGGCUUUCCACUGUUUUUCUUCCCAUCCCCUCUCUCUUCCCUACAGGUGUAUUCUUUGUGCAGUAACUUUUCUCCUGGGAAAGAACACGACUUUAUUGCAGACUGGAAUGCUGACCCACUUGUCUUCUGCUGCGAGCAUCCAUCAAACCUGGCCUCUGUGUCCCCUGGAGCCUUAAUUUUCCUCUUGACAGCAAAGACAAAUGACCACCACAGGGCUGUUUGCUC